rnacentral:rRNA from 1 species
UACGGAGGGUGCAAGCGUUAUCCGGAAUCACUGGGUUUAAAGGGUGCGUAGGCGGUCUAAUAAGUCAGUCGUGAAAUCGCUGGGCUCAACCCAUGCAAUUGCGAUUGAUACUGUUAGACUUGAAUGGGGUUGAGGCUGGCGGAAUGCGACAUGUAGCGGUGAAAUGCUUAGAUAUGUCGCAGAACACCGAUUGCGAAGGCAGCCAGCUGGGCCUUUAUUGACGCUGAGGCACGAAAGCGUGGGGAGCAAACAGGAUUAGAAACCCCGGUAGU